CACCUUGAAUUUUCUUCUUUAUGUUUAUUUGACACAUUCUUUUCUUUUAAUUAUAGGGCAUACUGUACAGUUUGUGUUGGAGCUGGCACUGGGUAUAUUCAGGCACUGGACUUGGACAGCAUCUUCAUCCUUUAAGUCACCGUGAAUUGUAGUGUCAAACUACACAGGGUGAUCAGUUGAAAUUUCAAUUGAAAAAUUGGAGGUAAGGAGUAUAUGUGUGUCUUUUAAAAAUGACUCUAUCGGUUAAUAUGUUUCAU
rnacentral:lncRNA from 1 species